GCUCCGACGGGAAACCCAGCAGGGCGCAUCAGUCCCAGUAAAGUAAACAUGGCCCAAUAGGCGUCCACGGGUCACACACACGCACACACAAAACGGGGACAGUGACGGGUCAGUAGCUAGUCACCAGCAAGAGCAUCAAGUCAGCCAACCAGGACGUCCAGUUCUAGUCCCCGGGGCCAGCGCUGCUGUAUUCGAGGAGGAGCAGGUGGCUAUGAGGAGCAGGCUGUGGGGGCUGGCACCCCAAACUCACUUCCCUCCAUGCAGGUCGGGGAAAUGGCAGCUCUGAGAGGCAGCUUCACUUCUCUAAGGUCACACAGCAAGAAGGUUCUCCAGGUUUGCUUGGAAGAGCUCCCUCUCCACUGUGUGUGCAGGUCGGACCCUGGACCUGGCCCACUGUGAGGGCUCAAAAAUAUUGACUUUCCAAAUGCCAGGCCAAACCCAAGGUUGAAAUCCACAUCGGCUCAACCGCCUGGUACGAUCUCUGCACCACCCCCUCACUCUGUCCCGAAUAAAUAUUUGCUCUCUGGA